rnacentral:rRNA from 1 species
AGUUGGGCACUCUAAGUUGACUGCCGGUGACAAACCGGAGGAAGGUGGGGAUGACGUCAAAUCAUCAUGCCCCUUAUGAUUUGGGCUACACACGUGCUACAAUGGACAAUACAAAGGGUAGCGAAACCGCGAGGUCAAGCAAAUCCCAUAAAGUUGUUCUCAGUUCGGAUUGUAGUCUGCAACUCGACUAUAUGAAGCUGGAAUCGCUAGUAAUCGUAGAUCAGCAUGCUACGGUGAAUA